AGGGGAAACGGCAUUGAGUGCUUGCACUCUUUGGACGUCGACCGGCGCACGGGUGAGUAACGCGUAUCCAACCUUCCCAUUACUGUGGGAUAACCUGCCGAAAGGCAGACUAAUACCGCAUAGUCUUCGAUGACGGCAUCAGAUUUGAAGUAAAGAUUUAUCGGUAAUGGAUGGGGAUGCGUCUGAUUAGCUUGUUGGCGGGGUAACGGCCCACCAAGGCAACGAUCAGUAGGGGUUCUGAGAGGAAGGUCCCCCACAUUGGAACUGAGACACGGUCCAAACUCCUACGGGAGGCAGCAGUGAGGAAUAUUGGUCAAUGGACGGAAGUCUGAACCAGCCAAGUAGCGUGCAGGAUGACGGCCCUAUGGGUUGUAAACUGCUUUUGUAUGGGGAUAAAGUUAGGGACGUGUCCCUAUUUGCAGGUACCAUACGAAUAAGGACCGGCUAAUUCCGUGCCAGCAGCCGCGGUAAUACGGAAGGUCCAGGCGUUAUCCGGAUUUAUUGGGUUUAAAGGGAGCGUAGGCUGGAGAUUAAGUGUGUUGUGAAAUGUAGACGCUCAACGUCUGAAUUGCAGCGCAUACUGGUUUCCUUGAGUACGCACAACGUUGGCGGAAUUCGUCGUGUAGCGGUGAAAUGCUUAGAUAUGACGAAGAACUCCGAUUGCGAAGGCAGCUGACGGGAGCGCAACUGACGCUUAAGCUCGAAGGUGCGGGUAUCAAACAGGAUUAGAUACCCUGGUAGUCCGCACAGUAAACGAUGGAUGCCCGCUGUUGGUACCUGGUAUCAGCGGCUAAGCGA
rnacentral:rRNA from 1 species